rnacentral:rRNA from 1 species
GUGGGGAAUAUUGCGCAAUGGGGGAAACCCUGACGCAGCAACGCCGCGUGAUUGAAGAAGGCCUUCGGGUUGUAAACUGCUUUUGUACGGAACGAAAAGGCUCUGGUUAAUACCUGGGGCUCAUGACGGUACCGUAAGAAUAAGCACCGGCUAACUACGUGCCAGCAGCCGCGGUAAUACGUAGGGUGCAAGCGUUAAUCGGAAUUACUGGGCGUAAAGCGUGCGCAGGCGGUUUUGUAAGACAGGCGUGAAAUCCCCGGGCUCAACCUGGGAAUGGCGCUUGUGACUGCAAGGCUGGAGUGCGGCAGAGGGGGAUGGAAUUCCGCGUGUAGCAGUGAAAUGCGUAGAUAUGCGGAGGAACACCGAUGGCGAAGGCAAUCCCCUGGGCCUGCACUGACGCUCAUGCACGAAAGCGUGGGGAGCAAACAGGAUUAGAUACCCUGGUAGUCC